rnacentral:rRNA from 1 species
UAGUCCACGCUGUAAACGAUGAUAACUAGGUGUUCGGGAGUUAUAAUCCUGAGUGCCCAAGCGAAAGCGAUAAGUUAUCCACCUGGGGAGUACGUUCGCAAGGAUGAAACUCAAAGGAAUUGACGGGGGCCCGCACAAGCGGUGGAGCAUGUGGUUUAAUUCGAUGAUACGCGAGGAACCUUACCUGGGCUAUAAUGUGCGUGACAGAUCCUGAAAGGGAUUUUUCUUCGGACACAAAACAAGGUGCUGCAUGGUUGUCGUCAGCUCGUGCCGUGAGAUGUUGGGUUAAAGUCCCGUAACGAGCGCAACCCUUGUCCUUAGUUGCCAGCGCGUAAUGGCGGGGACUCUAGGGAGACUGCCGGUGACAAACCGGNGGAAGGUGGGGAUGGACGUCAAAUCAUCAUGGGCCUUUAUGCCCAGGGGCGACACACGUGCUACAAUGGUUGGUACAAAGGAGU